UACGAAGGGGGCUAGCGUUGCUCGGAAUCACUGGGCGUAAAGCGCACGUAGGCGGCUUUUUAAGUCAGGGGUGAAAUCCUGAAGCUCAACUCCAGAACUGCCUUUGAUACUGGGAAGCUCGAGUCCGGAAGAGGUGAGUGGAACUCCGAGUGUAGAGGUGAAAUUCGUAGAUAUUCGGAAGAACACCAGUGGCGAAGGCGGCUCACUGGUCCGGUACUGACGCUGAGGUGCGAAAGCGUGGGGAGCAAACAGG
rnacentral:rRNA from 1 species